rnacentral:rRNA from 1 species
GACGAAGGGGGCUAGCGUUGUUCGGAAUUACUGGGCGUAAAGCGCACGUAGGCGGUUAUUUAAGUCAGGGGUGAAAUCCCAGAGCUCAACUCUGGAACUGCCUUUGAUACUGGGUAUCUUGAGUAUGGAAGAGGUAAGUGGAAUUCCGAGUGUAGAGGUGAAAUUCGUAGAUAUUCGGAGGAACACCAGUGGCGAAGGCGGCUUACUGGUCCAUUACUGACGCUGAGGUGCGAAAGCGUGGGGAGCAAACAGG